UAUAUUCAGGACAAUUACACGCUGUUAUCGCUUUACAGUUCCUACUCAUAAAAUAUGUGCACUGCAUGUUGACAUAAACCUUAAUAUAACGUUCAACAACAGAUAUUUCAGCACAAUGAAUAUUUUUGUGCUGAGUAUUAAUUGUCUCCCUCUGUCUGUGUUCAGUCUGUCUGCCGCGCCGGCGCUCAUUCAAUAAAGAUUUAAACUGAACACAGACUGUCAGGACGGACCUUUAUGCGAAAAUGCAAAUGCUUGCGGGAAUUUGUGACAUUUACAGAUGAGGAUUUGUCCUUAAACUGAAAGUUUUUGUGAUGAAGAUACACACAUCUGCCAAAGUGCCUGACAGGGCAAGCCAUUACGCUAAUGCAUUAGCUCAGUAUAUCAAAUCUAGCCUGAGCUGCAGCAGUUUACACACAGAGCAAACAGAUCUACAGAGGACAGCAUCAGCACAGUCCUUCACACUGCACCAAACCAAUCAAAUCAAAUCAAGCUUUGAAGAAAGUAUCAAGUCUUUCAUUGAAUUCAAACAUGUUGGGAGCAACAUGGUUGAACACUUGAAGGAGGCUGAGCUCACUAAACCCUUCCUCUUUGUUCUUGGUCUUGGGGAUGACAGUCAGUGCCAUCGAGCCUUUGUUGUUGUUGGCAAACAGACACUGCAGCAAACACUCCUUGGUGCUGCUUUAAACUUUUUUAUGUUUUGGACAUCCAUUUCCCGAAGCAGUGCACACCAGUGUGGGAAUUUCAGCAGACUGUUGUCUAUAAACUCCCAGGAACAGAAUCUCCUUCAGUAAGACUGCUCUGAGGAUAUUUGUCAUGUUGAACAGUACUGGACCCAAGACAACUAACCCUCUCUAAAAUGUGAUGUGAGUUUAUAUGAAGAGGAAAGUUGUCAGACUAAUACAUCUAAAGCAUUUUACUUUUGCCACUCUGUUCUUGUGCCUCUUUGUUAAACUUACUCUCUAAAAAGUUAUGAAAGUGACGUGACAUACAGCCAAGUAUGAUGACCCAUACUCAGAAUUCAUGCUCUGCAUUUAACCCACGCAAAGUGCACACACACAGCAGUGAACACACACACACAUCAGUGAACACACACACACGGAGCAGUGGGCAGCCAUUUAUGCUGCGGCGCCUGGGGAGCAGUUGGGUGUUCAGUGCCUUGCUCAAGGGCACCUCAGUCGUGGUAUUGCCGGCUCGAAACUCG
ensembl:lncRNA